UACGAAGGGAGCUAGCGUUGUUCGGAAUCACUGGGCGUAAAGCGCACGUAGGCGACUUGUCAGUCAGGGGUGAAAUCCCGGAGCUCAACUUCGGAACUGCCUCUGAUACAGCAAGUCUCGAGUCCGGAAGAGGUGGGUGGAAUUCCUAGUGUAGAGGUGAAAUUCGUAGAUAUUAGGAAGAACACGGUGGCGAAGGCGGCCCACUGGUCCGGUACUGACGCUGAGGUGCGAAAGCG
rnacentral:rRNA from 1 species